CUCCUUCAGAAUGGCUGCACAGAAACCAAGAAUUCUCUUUCUAGAACACUUUUCCUUUUUAACAUUUUCACAAAGUUUAACUGCUUAAUUCCCUCCAGCCUCUGCAGAGUUAACUUUUCACCCUCUUUCCUUAAAUCACUUGCUCAUCUCCCAAAAGACACCUUAAUCAACUCAGAUUUCACCAUUCCAAGUAUUGUUUCAGGGAUCUGAUUUCCCCAUGUCUGCACUUACUCCUUUUCUUACUUCUGCUUGUCUGGGCCUGAUCCUGCUUUCCUUGCAGAACCGUCCCUUUCCCUGGGCACAGGCUUUGUUCCAUUACCAAUUUAGCAAGGAGGGUGGGCUCCUCAACUAGACCCCACCCCUCCUGGUUUCUUUCCUUAAGCAUUUCUUUUAGAAUUGUGAAAUCAUCACAAUAUCACUCACAAAAAAUACUACACUGCCCAAACUCCUAUAUCCUUCAAAGUUUGGUUUAACAGAGCAAGACUUGUUUACAAAUCUCUUGAACAAGGUAUCAUCUUUGGAUUGCUUCCUUUUAAAUAUUUCUUACACAGGUGCUACCACUCUUUGCCCACACUCCUAUAUCCUUCAGAGUUGGGUCUCACAUAGAAAAUACCACCUGAACAUAUUUCUUACUCCUGUUGCUCGAGCCAGUGCCGGAGCUUCCAACUUAACCCUCUCUGGGCCAGAGGGAGAGACACUAAGCCUCCCUCUGUAUCACUCGGCCUACUACCACUGAGGGUUCAUACACCAAAUAUAAAAAUCCUUCCCAGGAUCAGAGCGAGGAACGCCAAGUUCUCUUCUCAAGCUCAGCCUUGCUACGGCUGAGGAUGUAUGCACCUAGGAUUUUUCGGCUUGGAGCGAGGAUCUAAGUCCUCCUCCUAUUACCCGACCUUACUACGACCGGGGGUAUACCCACCUCCAAUUAUUUCCUCCCAGCAGUCCGGGGUGGAGAGAGGGAUGCUAAACUACUCCCCUUUUUCUCAGCCCUGCUACGACCAAGGGUGUGAAUACCUUUUAAUCAUAAAGGGACAAUAGGAUCACAUGGAGGCUGCUCCAGGGGACGAUUGCGGGGCAGAGGAGAUAAUAGGGCAAGAGGCAGGCUGUACCCAGAGAUACCCAGAGUGCAAGUACCUGAUAUGGGGAAACAAUCGGACGAUCUGAGUAGACUUGGGUCCAACAUGCGCAGAAUAAUACGGAAAGUGCUAAUUCAGAUGGGAGAAGACAGAGAAAAAUGGGACCGGGCACCCACCGCUGACAUUGUAAAAGAGGUUCUUAGAUUACAAGCCCAACAGCGAAAAGACGUAUCCGGAGUAGUGGUUCCAAACACUCCUCCUCCUCCUCCCCCUCCAAUGGAGGAAAACCAGGAAUACUUUAGGGAAGCCCGCUGGAUGCAGAAUCUCCACCUGAUAUAGGAGCUCAGCAGUGGAGAUUCAUAGGAAAACUGACCUGGGAUCCAGGUGAAAGACCCCACCUUUACGUUCAGCAGGGAAAUCAAGCUCCUAUCCUAGCUUUAAAUUGACACUGGAGCUGCGGUCUCACUAAUUAAAGUGACCCCUCAAAAAGGAAUCAAGGGGCAGGCGGUGACCUUACAAUCAUUUCAAGGAAAGCCUAGUACCGGGCAAGAAUGGAUUCAAGUUCCAUUUAUGGUACAAGGCCUCCCCUUCUCAGUAUCAUGUUUCAAUACAUCAGGAGGCCUGAUGCAAACAAAAUACAUGACCAAUUAAGUGAUUCUAGGCACGGAUUGGCUGUUUAAAAAUAACAUUAUAAUUGAUUUACCCCGAGACAUUUUAUGGAGAUUAGAGAACCUCCCCCCAUACUUGCCAACUGAAAAUCAUUGCAGUAUUGUGGCCAGAGGGAGAAAUAAAAUUAUCGCAGCUCUCACGGCUGAACAGAGGGAGGAAUGGUAUUUGAAAUUCCCCACGGUCUGGGACAAGAAAAAAACAAAUUGUGGGAAAAUAAAUGCCUGUGUUAAGAUUGUAGGUGAAUUAGUAGCACCCGAAAAACAAUAUAGAUACCCCAGGGAAGCCAAAGAACAGCUGGUCCAAAUCAUUGAGGACCUCGAGGAACAGCGGGUUGUCAGAAAAACUAAUUCCAUUUUCAAUUCCCCUGUGUGGCCAGUCAGGAAAGCCGAUGGGCCAUCUUGGCGUUUAACCAUUGAUUACAGAAGAGUCAAUCAAUAAAGGGAGUGUGCCCAUGGCCCCCAUUGUGGCAGACAUGACACAAGUCAUACAAAAGGUUCAAGCCACCUCCAGGUAUUUCUCAGUGAUAGACUUGGCCAACUAUUUCUUUGCAAUACCCUUGCACCCGGAUUCACAGGACCGGUUCGCUUUCACCAUAAGGGACCAGCAAUACCCGUUCCGACGCUUACCACAAGGAUUCCAGCAUUCUCCAGCCACCGCACACCAUCAUGUGGGACUCCGAGACGCAGUUGCAGAGACUCACGGGAGAUGUCCUUGCUUUAAUCCAAGACACCGGAUUUAAGCGGAUGUGACUCUGGAUCCAGAAACAGCUCAUCCUACAAUAGCGGCAUCUGAGGAUGGGAGAAGUGCAAGAAAAUCUCCACUCAGGCUGUGCCCGACAGUCCCAAGAGAUUUGAGACUCUUUUAGCUGUGCUGGGCUCUGAGGGAUUCGACUCAGGCUAGCAUUGCUGGGAGACAGAGGUGGGGCUGGGGGAAGACUGGGCUGUGAGGAUCACCACAGAGUCUGUGCAAAAGAAGGGAACAUUGGCCUUUCAGUCUCACCAUGGACUCUGGAGUGUGUGGAUGAAGGAGAACAAGGCUCAGCCAUCCUAUUGGGCCCUGGCGGCUGCGAUCCCGGCCCCAGAGGACACAAUACCAGCCACGAUGGGGGAUCCAGCUGUAAUGCCGACUGAGAUACUGGUACCCACAUCCCAGAGCAAGACAGCCAUAAAGAUCAGAGUUUGUCUGGAAUAUGAAAGGGGGAUGGUGACAUUUUACAGAUCUGAUAUCAUGGCUCCUCCCUUCACUUACUGUAUCACCUUCACAGAGAAAAUCUUUUGGCUGUGGUCUGCAGGAGCAUGGGUCAGAUUGUGUCCCUUAGUUAUAAAAUAGUUAUAGCAUCUGUGACAGAUAGGGGAAUUUCCUGCAGUAUCCUUGAAAAAAAUCUUACUGAUUUGCGUUUAAGUAUCUUUGGAGUCCAUUGUAUUAAACCUCUCGUGGAGCGAGGUGGGAUUUACAGCCUGGAAAACCCCACCAUGGAAGAUGCUAGUCUCUGCCUAAGAGAGGUGUCUGCUGAGGAGCCGGGAUCCUACAGUGGGUGCCCUUGUUGGACCACAGAGGGGAAAUACAGGAGCAAUUGCUCUGAACUGUGAAAGCAUCUGUAUUUCAACUCCCCGUACCAAAGUGCAUCAGCCUUGAACUGUCCCCAGUGACUGGGUAUCUUGGGGGUAGGAAUAGAGGAGUAUAAUCUAAGGAGGCUUUUUAAUCCUUUGGAAAUUUUUGAGCACACUUGGCAGCUGAUUAUUUUUAGAGAAGAGAAAGAAGGUGCUAUUGUGGAAAAUCUGAAAAGGUUUCCAGCAUUGGAGAAAAAUUGAUCAUUUUCAGCUAUGUUAAUGACAAGUCAAAGUAGAGGAAAGCGAUGUCACAUGGCUAAGCUCUACCCUGCUGAGCAGUCUGUGUUGCUGAGCUGACCAUCUCUUUUGUGCACAAUUUUGAACUGCAACAUUUAACAAGAUUAAGCUUAUUAAAUGUUGAAGUUCAAACUGGAUACAAAUAGAGCUGAUGGUAAAACUGAAGAAAGAAUUUCACAACAUUCUGAAAGGUCCUUUCUGGCCUUCAGUGGGUCGUAGAAUGGCUCCAGGCAGAGGUGCUAGGAACCCUGAGAUGUACCCCCAUAAACUCUAGCGCUGAACACUACUAUGGUGCAUGCUUGGCUCUGCAGUGUGGGUGCUAGCAGGCAGGCUUGUACAGCAUGGGUACACUCUACAGUCUUCACAUACCGAAAGAGGCUACAGGCAUGUCUACAUGCAGAGUUACAGCCGUUUAACUUAAGGCAUGAUUUUAUCCUGACUUACUUAAACCAGGGCAAAAGAGUGUGUGGACGCUUAUUUCAAUUUAGCUUUAAAAUUUUCUUAAGCUAAACUGAAAUAAGUCUGAUGCAAACCAAAAUAAACUGCUGUGACAUGGUCAGGCCAGAUGGCUACAGGAGAGUGAUCCUACUGGGAUCCAGGAAGUGAGCAGGCGGAAGCCCCCUCCCCCGCCUAAGGUGAGGAUCCACAGGACCUGGAAGCCAAAUGAUUCCGGGGGACAACUAAUUAAACAACAGGGACAGAAGUGAGGUCAAAGGGUCAAACGAAGGGAACCUGAUGGGGACACCGAGCAGAAAACCCCCGACAGCUCCUCCUCCUCGAAGGCGUCAAAGGAGCCAGCGGACGCCGCCAGGAGAACUCUGCCCAGAUGUGUGAACGGACAGAGGAUCGGAAAUAGGCCCCACAGUCACAGGAGACCCCAUUGGCUACAGGAGAGUGAUAGAAGGUAAAUACAUUAGCCCCAGAUUAAGCCGGUCCCUUUUCUCUGAGUAAGAUAAUGGGCUGUUCCAGAACAAUCAGGAAGUUUCUGGAACCAAUUAAGGCAGGCAGCUCAGGAUCUGCCCUCAGAGCCGCGUCCAGUAGUGGAGCGACCAAGGGUGCGAGUGCUGACGUUGGCACUGGUGACUCCGGCAGUGAGGGGAGAGCCGUUGAGUCCGGUGCAUGUGGGCUCCCCGCCUCAUAGCGUGGUCGAGCCCCAGUUGCCAUAGACUCCGGAUACAUUUGCGGCUGCAAGGGAUCUUAUCGCAAUGACGGAGUCGACAUCCCCGCAGCAGACCGCGGCACCAGUUCCUGUUUGUGGGGAACCAUCCCGGGGCAAGCCAUCCCUGAUCCAACCAUCAACUCCACUGGGGGAACUGUGGCACUGGUCACAUUCCCGGAUCUGUUCCCGCUCUUGAUGCUGCUCGCAGUCCCGACAUCGCUCUCUCUCACAGUGCCGGUCAUACUCGCAGCACCGAUCCGGCUCAUGGCGUCGAUCCGACUCCCGGCACCCCUCCAUACACCGGUCACCGACCAGGAGCAGAUCUCGGUGCCGCUCUGGGAGACGGUCAUCGUCGCAGUCGAGGUCCAGAUCUAGGCACCAGUCUAGGUCCCGGCAACGUUCCCCAGCUUUGAGGCAAUGCUUCCUGCAUUCGUGGCACCGACCCACAGCUGCUCGGUACCCGUCUCCGUCACAUCGGGGUGACUCGGCACAGACUCGCUUGGCGCCACCAUGGCCUUCGCGGUCUGCAUCGUGUUUGUUGGAGUCCAACGUUGAGAUCACGCCACUCGGGCCAUGUCACAGCCUAGUCUAACAGUGGAGCUGCUCACUGGCAGCAGGGGGGCCACGGUCCUGUCCAGGGGUCCACCCAGUGACCCUUUUGGACACCGUGGGCAUACCACCAGGCCCAGAGUGCCCCAUCCGGGGCUUCCCGCUCAGUUCUCAGAGCCUCGAGUGCCAGAGGCCACCAUCAGCCACCCUUCUCCUGGGGGCAUGGAAACUGUAGCUCCCCAUGCUUCCUCAUCUCCAGCCCAGGGUCCAGUCUCCGAGGUAGCAGACCCUGACCAGGGAGACCCGGCCCAACAGGAGGCCCCACUCGACCCUCUUGGUCCUGUGGCUUCCUCCUCAUCCUCACCAGACGAGGCGGUGGCGGGAGCAAACGUCUCAGGUCCCCCUCCAAUAGACCUCUGUGCCCACCAGGACAUCCUGCAUAGGGGGCCCCUAUCAUGAACCUCCAAGCGGAGGAGGUUGUAGAGAUGCAGGACCCAGUGGUGGAUAUUUUGUAGGCUGUGGCCCCGUCUCGAGUGGCUUUACCACUCAUCCGCACUAUACAGACCACAGCCAGAACAAUCUGGCAAACGCCUGUGUUAUACCAAUAGAAUAAAAACCAGCAGGAUCUUAUUAAGAGGGAUAAGGCAAAGAUGCCACAUUUAUUGUAAAUAUAAUGAUAAAGCAAAAGAUAAAAGUAAUAUCCCUACACCUGCAUCCAUUCGUCCAACGGCUAAAGGGGUGUAGCGUAAAUACUUUGUCCCCUCCAAGGGUUAAGAUUACUUGUACACCCAUCCACAGCCCUGUUUGCUGCUAGUGGCCUCAGUGAACGAGAAGGAGUGGCAUGGCCAGCAAGCGCUGGCGCCCAAGUUGAAAGAGGCCAAACGUCUCAAUUUGUUCGAGUGCAUGGUCUAUUCAGCAGGCGGGCUACAGCUCAGAAUUGCAAAUCAGCAGGCACUCCUGAGCCACUAUAACUAUAACUCCUGGAACUCCAUGCUAAAAUUCAAGGAGCUGGUGCCUCCGGAGUCCAGAGAAGAGUUUGGGGCCCUGGUAGAGGAGGCAAAAAGGUGGUAAGGACCUCCUUGCACGCCUCACUGGAUGCUGCGGACUCCGCUGUUCGGACACUCAUCGGGAAUAGCUAUGCAGCGUAUAUCUUGGCUGCAGGCUUCCGGCUUACUACUGGAGCUGCAACAAACUCUACAAGACCUUCCUUUCGAGGGUGAAGGCCUCAAAUACCACUGAAAUUCAAUAGGAUUUAGGAAUGUAACUCAGGCUCCUUUGAAAAUCCUCCUUUCUUAUUUCUUUAUAAAGCAUAGAUGGUGCCUCUUUCAUAUACUGUGCUGCCCAACAUUAGAAUAUAGCAACUGUCUGACAAGAGACAAGUCAGUUGUAACAUAGAACAGACGUAGGUCAUUGGGAUUUGUUGGGUACUUUUGAAAAGCAGACAGGGGCCUAAAAGCGGGUUUAAGAGCCUAUUUUUAGACUCCUAUUUUUGCAAAAUCUUGGCCUCAAUGGUUAUUGUAAAACAGUGAUUUUCAACCUUUUUUGCAUUUGUGGACCCCUACAAAAUUGCAAAUGGAGCUGCAGACUCCUUUGGAAAUCUUAGACAUAGUCUGUGGACUCCCAGGGGUCUGUGGACCACAGGUUGAAAACCACUGUUGUAACAAAAAUAUCUACUUUUUUAAAAAAGGAAUUAAGAUAUGAACUUCUAUCAAUUUCAUUGAAAAAGCAUCCUGGGAGAAAACUUCCUGGAACUGAAGUGAGAUUGUAGGAAGAGGGCAGAGAGGAGGUCAGUGCUAGACUAUUAAUGAUUGGGAAUGAUUUUCAAAAGCACAAAUGGCAAUUAAUUGCCUAAUUCCCAUUUGUCCUUUGAAAAUCUCACUCCUUACUUAUUAUCCUCAAAGCAUCCAAACAUAGUAUAAGACACUUCCCUGCUCCCUAGAGCUUACAUACUAUCCAAUCAUACUCCCUUUGAAAGCAAUUGGUAAAACACCCAUCGAUUUCAUUGGUACAAGAUUGGGCCCCAAAUGGAUAAUGCAGGCAAAGGAGAAGAGGAAGGAAGAAAAUAGUAAGCAAGGGAAUCGAGGUGGAGCAAGCAGGACUGCACAAGAAUGAGUUAUUGGGAGUGCUUGACUUUUUUUUAAACAUGAUUAAUUUUGUUAAUCAUUUAUAGGCAAGAAGGUCAUUGUGUGAGUUUGUGGGGGAAAUUGGGUUUUGAGGAGGGAUAUGAAAGAGGAAUAGAAGGAAAGUGCGUCCUCUCUAAAGGAUCAGAGAGGAGAUUCCAGGUAUAGGAGACAGACUAGAAGAAGGUGACAUUAGUGAGAAAAAGGGACAUGGAGAGAGGUGUAAUUAGAUUAAAUUUGGUGCUUCUGUUUGCUUACCAGGAGGACAUUGCAUCUACACACAUUUAUUUCAAUAAUUACAUAGCUUAAUUUACAUUUAUUCAGAUUCUUAAUUUUUCCAUUAUUAUGUUAGAAAAUGUGAAUGCAUUUCUUAUUUACUAGAAGAUUGAUUUUUUAUUUCUGAUUUGCGUCAAACUCAAUUUCAAUAGAAAUUCAAAUUCAAUUAAAAUGCACAAAAAUAGCUUUAAUUCAAUAAAAUUAUCUUAAAUGUGUUGGAUAUAUAAGAAAGAAGUUUAUCAAAACGUAUUUUACAUUUAAAAUGAAUUUAUUAAACAAAGGAUAUACCUGCAGCUAGUAAAUUGAAGGGAAUAUUUCUGGUCACUAGAUCUUUCAACAAUUUAGGACAAAUAGAUUUCAUCCUUUCAUGAUGAGUUUUUAUUCAAAGAUUGGGAGACGAAAACAAGC